rnacentral:rRNA from 1 species
CACAUGCAAGUCGAACGAUGAAGGAGGAGCUUGCUCCUCUGGAUUAGUGGCGAACGGGUGAGUAACACGUGAGCAAUCUGCCCUUGACUCUGGGAUAAGCGCUGGAAACGGCGUCUAAUACCGGAUACGACCCUCGGAGGCAUCUCCUGUGGGUGGAAAGAACUUCGGUCAAGGAUGAGCUCGCGGCCUAUCAGCUUGUUGGUGAGGUAAUGGCUCACCAAGGCGACGACGGGUAGCCGGCCUGAGAGGGUGACCGGCCACACUGGGACUGAGACACGGCCCAGACUCCUACGGGAGGCAGCAGUGGGGAAUAUUGCACAAUGGGCGCAAGCCUGAUGCAGCAACGCCGCGUGAGGGACGACGGCCUUCGGGUUGUAAACCUCUUUUAGCAGGGAAGAAGCGAGAGUGACGGUACCUGCAGAAAAAGCACCGGCUAACUACGUGCCAGCAGCCGCGGUAAUACGUAGGGUGCAAGCGUUGUCCGGAAUUAUUGGGCGUAAAGAGCUCGUAGGCGGUCU